rnacentral:lncRNA from 1 species
AACGAACAAAAUCUUGAAAUUGAUGAUAUUUGGAACCUAGAUGGAAGCUUUUAAAACGCAAUAUCUUGUAUAAAUCGAUGGGGUGGAGGAUGGUGGUUGCGGGUUGAAAUGUUUAGUUUUUUCUUUCAACUAUAUCAAUUGUUGGCGGUGGUUGCGACGAGGAGAUGUUCAAGACAGUGAUGACCGUAGGUGGUAAGGAAUAUUGGUGGCGGAUAUAAAAAUUUUUUUCACUGGGUUCAUUUUGGUAGAUUCUCACGAAUUCUCAUUAUUUUUUUUCCAAAUCACAAGAGGUUCUCACUAAUUUUCUCCACUUUUUCCAAAGCGAUGUUCCUGGGAACCCACAAAAGUAGCCUAGAUCCGCCCCUGCUUAUUGUGUUGGGUAAAUUGUUGAACAAUUAAACAAGGCUCGUAUUAUUGGCACAACUUGCAAAUUAAAUUGACACCCUCAAUACGGGUCGUAGUAUAGGCCUAUAUGAAUCGUAUUGGGCAAUAACGAUUCCCAAUGUCAUUCAAAAGCUGACAUUGUUGGUCACGUGCAAACCCUAUACGGGUUGUAUAGGUCUAUACAACUCGUAUUAGGUAUGAGGUAGUACGAUGUCACUCAACAGUGACAGAAAGUGAUGGAUGUGAUAUUACGUCAGCUCUAUACGGGUCGCAUAGGGCUAUACAACCCAUAUUGGUCUCUGAAAAUGAAUUCAACUUUCUGUCUUUAUAAAUGACGAAGGGAGACGAAAGGAACAUUGUUUCUUCUUCUCUUCUUUCUUUCAGACAAACAAUUCCACCAUGUCUUGGUUUGACCUCAAUUACGUUUUUUUGGCGGAUCGUCCGGUAACAACACGAGCAUGUUUAUUCUGGAAAUCAGUGUGGUAUGGUAUUUAUUAACUUGUUUUGUUUAAGAAAUACUUACCAUGUCGUUGUUUUAGGAGAGGUUUGUUGUCCUUGAUUCUUACGAUGAGAGAGUAAAUCAUGAUUACGCGGAGGAGAUCGUGUUCACAAGGAACCAUUGCUGCCAGACAUGAACGAGGUAAACAUUUAUUUACUUAUUUGUAUUAG